UACGGAGGGUGCAAGCGUUAUCCGGAUUCACUGGGUUUAAAGGGUGCGUAGGUGGGUUGGUAAGUCAGUGGUGAAAUCCCCGAGCUUAACUUGGGAACUGCCAUUGAUACUAUCAGUCUUGAAUACCGUGGAGGUCAGCGGAAUAUGUCAUGUAGCGGUGAAAUGCUUAGAUAUGACAUAGAACACCCAUUGCGAAGGCAGCUAACUACGCGAUAAUUGACGCUGAUGCACGAAAGCGUGGGGAUCAAACAGG
rnacentral:rRNA from 1 species